rnacentral:rRNA from 1 species
AUAUCAAUAAGCGGAGGAAAAGAAACCAACAGGGAUUGCCUCAGUAGCGGCGAGUGAAGCGGCAAAAGCUCAGAUUUGAAAUCCGGCGUGGUCCCCUCGCCCGAGUUGUAAUCUGGAGAGGAAGCCCCGGUGAGGCCGGCCGUCCAAGUUCCUUGGAACAGGACGUCCUCAGGAGGGUGAGCCACCCCG